GACGAACGCUGGCGGCGUGCUUAACACAUGCAAGUCGAACGCUGAAGCUCAGCUUUUGUUGGGUGGAUGAGUGGCGAACGGGUGAGUAACACGUGAGUAACCUGCCCCCUUCUUUGGGAUAACGCCCGGAAACGGGUGCUAAUACUGGAUAUUCACUGGUCUUCGCAUGGGGGUUGGUGGAAAGGGUUUUUCUGGUGGGGGAUGGGCUCGCGGCCUAUCGGCUUGUUGGUGGGGUGAUGGCCUACCAAGGCUUUGACGGGUAGCCGGCCUGAGAGGGUGACCGGUCACAGUGGGACUGAGAUACGGCCCAGAGUCGUACGGGAGGCAGCAGUGGGGAAUAUUGCACAAUGGGCGCAAGCCUGAUGCAGCGACGCCGCGUGAGGGAUGGAGGCCUUCGGGUUGUGAACCUCCUUCGCUCAUGGUCAAGCCGCAACAAUGGUUGUGGUGAGGGUAGUGGGUAAAGAAGCGCCGGCUAACUACGUG
rnacentral:rRNA from 1 species